GUGUCAGUACAAGCCGAACUAAGGCGAAACCGCAAACGGCUCAUUAAAUCAGUUUUAUUUCACUUGAGCGAAAACGUCCAAGUUUUUGGAUAACUGUGGCAAUUCUAGAGCUAAUACAUGCAACCAAGUCCCGACCAGUAAUGGAAAGGACGCUUUUAUUAGAUCAAAAUCAAUCGGUCGGACACGCGCCGCUCCGUUUGACUUGAUGACUCUGAAUAACAAUCACCGGAUCGCACGGUCUCUGUGCCGGCGACCCAUCUUUCAAAUGCCUGACUUAUCAACUGUCGAUGGUAGACUCUACGUCUACCAUGGUUGUAACGGGUGACGGGGAAUCAGGGUUCGAUUCCGGAGAGGGAGCCUGAGAAACGGCUACCACAUCCAAGGAAGGCAGCAGGCACGCAAAUUACCCACUCCCGGCACGGGGAGGUAGUGACAAAAAAUAACGAUACGGGACUCAUCCGAGGCCCCGUAAUCGGAAUGAGAACACUCUAAAUCAUUUAACAAGUACCUAUUGGAGGGCAAGUCUGGUGCCAGCAGCCGCGGUAAUUCCAGCUCCAAUAGCGUAUAUUAAAGUUGUUGCGGUUAAAAAGCUCGUAGUUGGUUCUGCGUCCCACGCUGUCGGUUCACCGCCUGUCGGUGCAACUGGCACGCCGUGGGAUGUCCUGUCGGUGGCGGCCGCGGCCCGGCGGGCGAGGGCCAAGACCCGAAACGGGUCCGAACCCUCCUCCCGGGAUCCGCCGGUCGCCUAUCUAAUCCCGCCGCGGUGCUCUUAACUGAGUGUCGAGGUGGGCCGACACGUUUACUUUGAACAAAUUAGAGUGCUCAAAGCAGGCUGAAUUCCGCCUGAAUAGUGGUGCAUGGAAUAAUUGAAUAGGACCUCGGUUCUAUUUUGUUGGUUUUCGGAAUCCGAGGUAAUGAUCAAUAUGGACAGGCGGGGGCAUUCGUAUUGCGGCGUUAGAGGUGAAAUUCUUGGAUCGUCGCAAGACGGACUAGAGCGAAAGCAUUUGCCAAGUAUGU
rnacentral:rRNA from 1 species